rnacentral:rRNA from 1 species
GAGGAAUGUAUAGCAAUAGCUACUUGCAUCAUUGUAAAAAUGAUGCAGGAUCGACUAUGUCGAAUAAAAUUCUAGGUAGAAUUUUGAUAAUGACAUUGUCUGCCUAUGUGUCUUGACCAAAUUACGUGCCAGCAGUCGCGGUAAUACGUAGAAGACUAGUGUUAUUCAUGUUUAAUCGGUUUAAAGGGUACCUAGACGGUUAAUCAAGCCUAAAAUUNAAUGAAGGGACUAAUUUACUAGAGUUACUUAUGAGGGGGNAUUAAAGUACUGCUGGUGUAGAGAUGAAAUUCUGUCAUACCUCUUUUCUAUAGAAAAAUAAUGGCACAGGUAUAGGCGAAAGCAUCCCCUUAUGUGAUAACUGACGUUGAGGGACGAAGGCUUUGNGUAGCGAACAGGAUUAGAUACCCCAGUAGUCAAAGCAGAAAAUGAUGAAUGUCAUAGAUUAGAUAAAUAAGUUUAUUCUAUAAAUGAAAGUGUAAGCAUUCCACCUCAAGAGUAAUUUGGCAACAUUGGAACUGAAAUCAUUAGACCGUUUCUGAAACCAG